CCUACGGGAGGCAGCAGUGGGGAAUAUUGGGCAAUGGAGGCAACUCUUACCCAGCAAUGCCGCGUGAAUGAAGAAGGUCUUCGGAUUGUAAAGUUCUUUAAUUGGGGACGAAAAAAAUGACGGUACCCAAGGAAUAAGCCCCGGCUAACUACGUGCCAGCAGCCGCGGAAAUACGUCGGGGGCAAGCGUUGUUCGGAAUGACUGGGCGUAAAGGGUGUGUAGGCGGUGUAGAAAGUUAGAAGUGAAAGACCUAGAGCUUAACUCAGGUGCUGCUUCUAAAACUGCUAUACUUGAGUGCAGUAGAUGAGAGUGGGAUUCCUAGUGUAGCUGUGGAAUGCGUAGAUAUUAGGAGGAACAUCAGUGGCGAAGGCGACUUUCUGGACUGUAACUGACGCUGGGGCACGAGAGUGUGGGGAGCAAACAGGAUUAGUACCCGGGUGUC
rnacentral:rRNA from 1 species